GGGCCCGUAGUUUAGUGGCUAUAACGUCUCGUUUACACCGAGAAGGUCACCAGUUCGAGUCUGGUCGGGCCCACCA
rnacentral:tRNA from 1 species